rnacentral:other from 1 species
AAAUCCCUGCGGUGCUCGUCGGCGAUUGAUGAUUGUUGAACCAACACCAAUCACACGGGAGUCCAUAUUCAGGCGUGCCUGCGGGCCGCUUCUGAGGACGCCCACCUGAACGUUGGGUUCAGACCACCUAGCUGACGGCAAAUGCGGGGAUUUU